UAUAGACACUUUAAACUCAAGAUCAAACCUUGCAGAGAAGUUUGGCUUCGCGAAUUUGGUGUUCAGAUCACAGCAGCCUGAACUGAGUGCAUCAUUCUGUGAUGCAACAGAGACAGAUUGUGACCUAUUCACCAAUAGAAAAUCCCAGGAAUGAGUAGGAAUUCCCUGGAAGAAAAGACUCAGGAUGAGUAGCUGAUCUGGAUCCUCCUUGAGGCAGCGAUGACAUCCGGCACUGCAGACUGUGGUUCCUCAGCCAGCCAUUAAACGAGCUAGACCAGUGCUGCAGGUCCAACACACUGG
rnacentral:lncRNA from 1 species